GGGGUUGUGGCUCAGUAGUAGAGUGCACGCCUAGCACGCAUGAGGCACUGGGUUCGAUCCUCAGCAAUACACA
rnacentral:tRNA from 1 species